rnacentral:rRNA from 1 species
CUACGGGCCGCAGCAGUGAGGAAUAUUGCACAAUGGGGGGAACCCUGAUGCAGCAACGCCGCAUGGAGGAUGACGCAUUUCGGUGUGUAAACUCCUUUUAUAUGUCAAGAAAAUGACGGUAGCAUAUGAAUAAGCACCGGCUAACUCCGUGCCAGCAGCCGCGGUAAUACGGAGGGCGCAAGCGUUACUCGGAAUCACUGGGCGUAAAGGACGCGUAGGCGGGUUGGAAAGUCAGGUGUGAAAUCCUACAGCUUAACUGUAGAACUGCACUUGAAACUUCUAAUCUAGAGUAUGGGAGGGGGAGAUGGAAUUAGUGGUGUAGGGGUAAAAUCCGUAGAUAUCACUAGGAAUACCUAAAGCGAAGGCGAUCUCCUGGAACAUUACUGACGCUAAGGCGUGAAAGCGUGGGGAGCAAACAGGAUUAGAUACCCCCGUAGUC